UACGAAGGGUGCAAGCGUUAUUCGGAAUUACUGGGCGUAAAGGGUGCGUAGGCGGUUCGUUAAGUCUGUCGUGAAAUCCCCGGGCUCAACCUGGGAAUGGCGAUGGAUACUGGCGAGCUAGAGUGUGUCAGAGGAUGGUGGAAUUCCCGGUGUAGCGGUGAAAUGCGUAGAGAUCGGGAGGAACAUCAGUGGCGAAGGCGGCCAUCUGGGACAACACUGACGCUGAAGCACGAAAGCGCGGGGAGCAAACAGG
rnacentral:rRNA from 1 species